rnacentral:rRNA from 1 species
GAGUGUGGCCAGACUUGAGUUUAGUACAUUUUAAAAUUUCCAGCUUGUCUGGAAGAUAAUAUCAGAGAUGAGAUAUUUCUUGAAAAUUAAGUUGUAGCUCCAGCGUUUGAAAGAACAGCUAUUCUUGAGAAUUUCUUUUAAUGCGACAAUAGGGAUUUCAUUGAAUUAGAAAAUUAGGAAAAAUCCUAGUAAUUUAGUUUGUAAUGACAUUAUUUUUUCUUGUCAAUAAAAUAUAAAAUAAGAACAGUGGGGUUGGUUUAUAAAAUUAUAUCAUAAAAAUUUAUUUUGAUUGAUGAUGAAUAUUUAUAUUUCAAAAUAUCCCAGAAUAGCAGGGAAGUCUAAUAAAUUCGGAAAAGUGAAUUUUCAAUUCAAGUUAUAUAAAUAAAUUCUGUCUAAUAAAGAACAGGUUGGUAAGUAAGAUCGGAAGUUAAUUUUUUGAUUA